CAAGUCCGCCACCUGCACAAGCAUAGGACACUUGGACUCUCUCUUCUUAUUUUCGGCCCAGCCUUUCUCCUAACCAAGGAAUUAUUUCUUCAUACAUUGAAACUGGUCAGCUUUCCUUUAUGCUUUAAUCACACAUAUAAUUGGUGCUGUUCUCAUCCUCUCUAGGCCGUAGGUACUUAGAACAGAACACAAACAAGAUUUGUAUCCUUCCCUUUUCUCCAUUAAACAGUGAACCACUAAGGCUAGAGCCCUCACCCCAAAUUUCUAUCUUAUUCUCUCAUUCUUACCAGGCCGUGUAAGUAGGAGCAAGGAGGUGAGGCACCUUCAAUACUCUCCUGCUUCCUCUCUUCGUUUCGGCUGCACACCAACAAACAAAAGUGCCGUGGAAGGACUUCCCUUUCCUCUUGCAUGCAACUGGAUUCAAGCUCUUGGAGCUUAGGAAAAAGUAAGGGUCUGCUUCUUGAUAGUUUGGGACCACUCGAUGUAUAGACAAAAGGCAUACCUCGGUACCAGGGAAGGGGACACUUGGCUUCAGUCCGCAUAGGUCCGCAGUUGGAAUUCACCUUUAUGGGAGCCAUUAUGGAAUAUCCACUGUGAUGGUGCGCGCACGAUGGUGCUAUGAGCGCAAUGAAAGGCGUUAUAUACGCAUUAUGAUGAAUAUGGCAUUAUAUACGCACUAUGAAAUGUUAGUACGCGCACGAAGGUUCUAUGAGCGUAAUGAUGGCGUUAUAUGCGCACUAUGAUAUGUUAACGGAAAAUGAAAUGUUGAGGAGGACUCAAAAGCAUAUGAGGACAUGGAUUAUUUGGAUAUUUGCUGCUAAAUUCUCUUGUUUGGACUUGCUGCUGUAGCUGUUUUAUUUGAUGGAUGACUGUAUUAUUUUGAGAAGUUUGGAUUGACUGUUGAACUAUGAUUUUAUUACUGCUUUAAGACUUUUAGGAUCAGCAAGUACUUGGAAAUAAAUUUUAGAAACAUUUUGCGAAAAUAAAUUUUGACGUAU